rnacentral:rRNA from 1 species
GACGAACGCUGGCGGCGUGCUUAACACAUGCAAGUCGAACGAGGUCCAUCCUUCGGGAGAAGACCUAGUGGCGAACGGGUGCGUAACACGUGAGCAACCUGCCCCGAAGACCGGGAUAACAGCGGGAAACCGCUGCUAAUACCGGAUGUCCCCACCGAAUCGCAUGGUUUGGUGAGGAAAUGGAUUCCGCUUCGGGAGGGGCUCGCGGCCUAUCAGCUUGUUGGUGGGGUAACGGCUCACCAAGGCAACGACGGGUAGCUGGUCUGAGAGGACGAUC